rnacentral:rRNA from 1 species
UACGGGGGGAGCAAGCGUUGUUCGGAUUUACUGGGCGUAAAGGGCGCGUAGGCGGCCACCGCAAGUCGACUGUGAAAUCUCCGGGCUUAACCCGGAAAGGUCAGCCGAUACUGCGGGGCUAGAGUGCAGAAGGGGCAACUGGAAUUCUCGGUGUAGCGGUGAAAUGCGUAGAUAUCGAGAGGAACACCUGCGGCGAAGGCGGGUUGCUGGGCUGACACUGACGCUAAUGCGCGAAAGCUAGGGGAGCGAACGGG